AUAGAAAUUAUAGAGGAAGCAAUCAGUUCCACUACAAAAGUAUAAAAUUCCACCCGUCCGUUAUUUCAUAACUGCUUCUGCAAAGCGGGGAAUCGAGGAAGUCUAGGGAAUCAUGAAACCAUAUUUAUUGUCUCCUUUUAAGAAUAUAAAAUGACGAUACGUAAGUUCCUAGAACACAAAAUAUUUACCUCGUCGUCGUAUUGGAUAUAGACAGCUGGGGGAAAAUUAUGACCACCUCAAAACUGAGCUCUCACUAGAAGGUGAUAUGGUCCACCUCUCCUUACUGAACAAUCUUUAUAUUAAAUUUCAGGUUCCAAACAUGAUGGCUGCUGUGAAGCCACCCAGUCCCUUGGAAAAAAAAAAAAAACAAAAAACCCAGCAAAAGAAAAAGCAGUGUUGCUGCUAAUAGAAAGGAGGUCCUACAAUCCACACAUUCUGACUGGGACACACCCGUGAAUUCAAACUGUUGAAUGAAAACACAGUGGCCCAUUUACACAUGUUUACCAUUGGCACUCUUAGAAAAAAUUCAGUAGAAAACAAUGCACAGAUAAAGACCCAGCACAAUGCUGCAAUAAUAGAUCGAAAAAGAAUUGUGGCUUCUCCGUCACAAUGCCGCCUACUUCUACAGGACCCACCUCCCCAGAGUUCCGGGGAUUUCUUUGUCUCGUUUCGGUGUUUCUACAUUUCAGCAAAGUGUGGAGGAUUAAAGAGCACUGAGCCCAACAGCAAGGAAGAUGGACUUCAUAGCAAGGCUCCUGGUUGCAGUCACUUUGGUCGGUUUUGUUACCGAGUGCCACUGCACUAUGACAGUUUUCAAAGAGAUGAAAGAUUGCUUAAAGAAGGAAUUUGCUGCAGCUCGCAGGAGGAAUUGCUGGUUUGAUGCAGAGUGUGAGUCUGCAAAAAUCAGGAACGCAAUCCAAACAUGCAUUAUGUACGGAUUCAAUCUUAUCUACCAAGACUCAUCUUAUUACAAGAAGGGUGACUACGACACUUAUCGACUUAUAGAGUGUGCGAUUGACCGGUGCUUUGAGGGUGUGAAGAGAUAUGGAGACACACAGAAAAUAGUACCACAAGAACCCCUAUCAGACCUGGCAGAAUCCUUCUACCACUGUCUGCUGGCAGUAAGGGAGUGUGUCCAAGAUUAUUGGUUACACACCGAGCUCUGACCUGAACGACUAUCAUUUCAAAGCAGUAAUCUCAAGGAGAGAAGAGGCAUAAUAUACACUGUAGUUUUUCUUAUUAGUAUACAUAAAGUGUGGAGAUUCUUAUCUGUACAAACAUGUAGAGCAUGGCAGUACUGCAGGCUUCCUUUUCUUUGAGGUGUCGCACGUGACGGCAUGUUGUUCUUUUAAAUGGUUCUCAUGUAAACAUUCACUUGUACUGUGUGACCAACAGAUGUACAACAAGCAAAUAAGUACUUUCACUUUCUCUUUCUCCCAUUUAAAACUCGGUUUCUGGUUUCUCAGUCUCUAGCUACAGGAAAUUUAUCAUAAACUGAAAGUUAAGAAAGGGGGUGCGGUGGCGCAGUGGGUUGGACUGCAGUCCUGCUCUCCAGUGGGUCUGGGGUUCGAGUCCUGCUUGGGGUGCCUUGCGGCGGACUGGCGUCCCGUCCUGGGUGUGUCCCCUCCCCCUCCGGCCUUACGCCCUGAGUUGCCGGGUGAGGCUCCGGCUCCCUGUGACCCUGUAUGGGACAAGCGGUUCUGAAAAUGUGUGUGUGUGUGUGUGUGUGUGUGUGUGUGUGUGAAAGUUAAGAAAAACUAAGCUGAAAUGAAAGUAAAAAAAAUACAAGUAAGAAAGAACUGAAGCAAACAAAUAAACAAACACAAAAAACCCCA
ensembl:lncRNA